CUCCUUGUGGUGAAACUGGAUAUCACAGACCCCUCCUAAGGGUCAAUUACAGGUUCAAGUCCUGUCGGGGAGACCA
rnacentral:tRNA from 1 species